GCUGGGUGUGGUGGCGGGCACCUGUAGUCCCAGCUACUCGGGAGGCUGAGGCAGGAGAAUGGCGUGAACCCGGAGGCGGAGCUUGCAGUGAGCGAGAUCGUGCCACUGCACUCCAGCCUGGGCGACAGAGUGAGACUCCAUCUCAAAAAAAAAAAGAAAAAAGAAAAACUCAGUUCUUUUUUUUCUUUUUUUUUUUUUUUUGAGACGGAGUCUUCGCUCUGUCGCCCAGGCUGGAGUGCAGUGGCCGGAUCUCGGCUCACUGCAAGCUCCACCUCCGGUUCGGCCAUUCUCCUGUCUCAG
rnacentral:SRP_RNA from 1 species